CUAUAACGAUAUUAUUACCGUACAAGCCGUUAGCAAGACAUGAUAGGGAGUUGGCAAGUUAAA
rnacentral:ncRNA from 2 species